CCUACGGGGGGCUGCAGUCGGGAAUAUUGCGCAAUGGAGGAAACUCUGACGCAGUGACGCCGCGUGCAGGAAGAAGGUUUUCGGAUUGUAAACUGCUUUAGACAGGGAAGAAAAUGACGGUACCUGAGUAAGAAGCCCCGGCUAACUACGUGCCAGCAGCCGCGGUAAUACGUAGGGGGCAAGCGUUAUCCGGAUUUACUGGGUGUAAAGGGAGCGUAGACGGCAGUGCAAGUCUGGAGUGAAAGGCGGGGGCUCAACCCCCGGACUGCUCUGGAAACUGUACGGCUGGAGUGCAGGAGAGGUAAGUGGAAUUCCUAGUGUAGCGGUGAAAUGCGUAGAUAUUAGGAGGAACACCAGUGGCGAAGGCGGCUUACUGGACUGUAACUGACGUUGAGGCUCGAAAGCGUGGGGAGCAAACAGGAUUAGAUACCCCUGUAGUC
rnacentral:rRNA from 1 species